rnacentral:rRNA from 1 species
UACGAAGGGGGCAAGCGUUGUUCGGAAUUACUGGGCGUAAAGGGCGCGCAGGCGGCCUGCCAAGUCAGAUGUGAAAGCCCCGGGCUCAACCUGGGAAUAGCAUUUGGGACUGGUGGGCUAGAGAUCGGGAGAGGAGAGUGGAAUUCCCAGUGUAGAGGUGAAAUUCGUAGAUAUUGGGAAGAACACCGGUGGCGAAGGCGGCCUGCUGGGCAGUGGCUGACGCUGAGGCGCGACAGCGUGGGGAGCAAACAGG